CAAACGGAGGACCUCAUCUGUUAGCACCCUCAUGUCAGCACACAAACGAGAAUUUAAAGAUCCUAAUUAAACCCGGGCUCAAAAUAUCUUCCUGAGUAGACCAGAAAGCACCAGUUUCACAAAAAAACAGAAAUAUGCAUCUUCCCAAUGUGGUUUUUAGUUUAUUUUCUGUGUUUUAAUGGUAUUCAAAUUUGAAGUUGAUUGCUAAAGCAGUAACUACCGUUAAUGUGUGUAAACAGAUUUGUGGAUAUUUAACGAUUUAGGAAACUGUGGAUGACUACUUUACAUAAUCAACAGGUAGACAGACAGAUGUCAGCACACACAACCGUCAACCCUCAGUUGCUCAAGGCUGAAUGUGGGAUCUCUCAUCUCAGGCUUGUUUGAAAUCCUCAAUUAGUGAAAAGCCCUUGGAAGGCACCUCUAACAUUGUGGUCAGGAGCCCAGAUUUUGGAGCUAGAAUUUAAACAUAGGGAUAGGGAUUUCAUUCCAAGCCUCCCACCAACUGCCUGAGCCUGUGUCAGCGAGCCAGCCCACCUCUCUGUGCUGAUUGUCUCAUCCGUGCGGUGGGGGUGUGAACACCUGGUCCCGGGGACCCCAGCAUCUGGCUUCAAUGUCGAUGUCCUUCCGCCGACCAGGAGGGAGGCCCUUCUCCACUCUGCUGCAGGCGUGGGUCACCUGUGAGUCCCUGCAGGCCUCCACUUUCUGCUGGAGGUGCCCGUGAGCUGGACCAUGGCUGGGGCUGAUUCAUAAAAUAAACAGCAACAUGCAGAGGACAGAAUCCACUUGUCAGACAUGGGGGAAAAGGUAGUCAGCUCCUGACCUUGCAAAGCCUCAGGCACCAAGAGAGACUCAGCCUCGUAUGACUCAGUCCCUGCUUUUACUCUAUACAGAUCCUUCAUUUUAAAGCCGUAUUUUCUUCAUUUUCCCUAGAUGGAUUCUUGACUGUAACUAAUUAUGUCGGAUUAAAACAUGCUAACAACAC
rnacentral:sRNA from 1 species